rnacentral:tRNA from 1 species
UGCGAGCGUGGCGGAACUGGCAGACGCGCUAGAUUUAGGUUCUAGUACCAAACGGUGUGGAGGUUCGACUCCUCUCGCUCGCAU